rnacentral:rRNA from 1 species
AUACGAAGGUGGCGAGCGUUGUUCGGAUUUACUGGGCGUAAAGAGCACGUAGGCGGUUUGGUAAGCCCCUUGGGAAAGCUCCGGGCUUAACCCGGAAAGGUCGAGGGGGACUGCUAAGCUAGAGGGCGCGAGAGGAGCGCGGAAUUCCCGGUGUAGGGGUGAAAUGCGUAGAUAUCGGGAAGAAGGCCGGUGGCGAAGGCGGCGCUCUGGAACGCAUCUGACGCUGAGGUGCGAAAGCGUGGGGAGCAAACAGAAUUAGAUACCCCAGUAGUCC